UACGAUCUGUAGCUGGUCUGAGAGGACGACCAGCCACACUGGGACUGAGACACGGCCCAGACUCCUACGGGAGGCAGCAGUGGGGAAUUUUGGACAAUGGGGGCAACCCUGAUCCAGCCAUGCCGCGUGCGGGAAGAAGGCCUUCGGGUUGUAAACCGCUUUUGUCAGGGAAGAAAUCUCCUGAGCUAAUACCUCGGGGGGAUGACGGUACCUGGAGAAUAAGCACCGGCUAACUACGUGCCAGCAGCCGCGGUAAUACGUAGGGUGCAAGCGUUAAUCGGAAUUACUGGGCGUAAAGCGUGCGCAGGCGGUUGUGCAAGACAGAUGUGAAAUCCCCGGGGCUUAACCUGGGAACUGCAUUUGUGACUGCACGGCUAGAGUGCGGCAGAGGGGGAUGGAAUUCCGCGUGUAGCAGUGAAAUGCGUAGAUAUGCGGAGGAACACCGAUGGCGAAGGCAAUCCCCUGGGCCUGCACUGACGCUCAUGCACGAAAGCGUGGGGAGC
rnacentral:rRNA from 1 species